rnacentral:rRNA from 1 species
AACGAACGCUGGCGGCAGGCCUCAUACAUGCAAGUCGAGCGAUUAAAGCUCCUUCGGGAGUGUAUAAAGCGGCGAACGGGUGAGUAACAGGUGGAUGAUCUGCCUCCCGGUGGGGGAUAACGGCUGGAAACGGCCGCUAAUACCGCAUUCGGUUGGUGCGUUACGGCGCACCAAAGAAAGGCGCUUCACGGCGUCGCCGGGAGAUGAGUCCGCCCCCCAUUAGCUAGUUGGCGGGAUAAUAGCCCACCAAGGCUUCGAUGGGUAGCCGAACUGAGAGGUUGAUCGGCCACACUGGAACUGAGACACGGUCCAGACACCUACGGGUGGCUG